GACGAACGCUGGCGGCGUGCCUAACACAUGCAAGUCGAACGGAAAGGCCCUGCUUUUGUGGGGUGCUCGAGUGGCGAACGGGUGAGUAACACGUGAGUAACCUGCCCUUGACUUUGGGAUAACUUCAGGAAACUGGGGCUAAUACCGGAUAGGAGCUUCUGCUGCAUGGUGGGGGUUGGAAAGUUUCGGCGGUUGGGGAUGGACUCGCGGCUUAUCAGCUUGUUGGUGGGGUAGUGGCUUACCAAGGCUUUGACGGGUAGCCGGCCUGAGAGGGUGACCGGCCACAUUGGGACUGAGAUACGGCCCAGACUCCUACGGGAGGCAGCAGUGGGGAAUAUUGCACAAUGGGCGGAAGCCUGAUGCAGCGACGCCGCGUGCGGGAUGACGGCCUUCGGGUUGUAAACCGCUUUCGCCUGUGACGAAGCGUGAGUGACGGUAAUGGGUAAAGAAGCACCGGCUAACUACGUG
rnacentral:rRNA from 1 species